rnacentral:rRNA from 1 species
GACGAACGCUGGCGGCGUGCCUAAUACAUGCAAGUAGAACGCUGAAGCUUGGUGCUUGCACCGAGCGGAUGAGUUGCGAACGGGUGGGUAACGCGUAGGUAACCUGCCUGGUAGCGGGGGAUAACUAUUGGAAACGAUAGCUAAUACCGCAUAAGAGUAGAUGUUGCAUGACAUUUGCUUAAAAGGUGCAAUUGCAUCACUACCAGAUGGACCUGCGUUGUAUUAGCUAGUUGGUGAGGUAACGGCUCACCAAGGCAACGAUACAUAGCCGACCUGAUAGGGUGAUCGGCCACACUGGGACUGAGACACGGCCCAGACUCCUACGGGAGGCAGCAGUAGGGAAUCUUCGGCAAUGGACGGAAGUCUGACCGAGCAACGCCGCGUGAGUGAAGAAGGUUUUCGGAUCGUAAAGCUCUGUUGUAAGAGAAGAACGAGUGUGAGAGUGGAAAGUUCACACUGUGACGGUAUCUUACCAGAAAGGGACGGCUAACUACGUG